rnacentral:rRNA from 1 species
GGGUGUGAUCAUACCAGCACUAAUGCACCGGAUCCCAUCAGAACUUUGAAGAUAUGCAUGCUUGGGCGAGAACGGUACUUAUUGAUAUGUCACAUAUG